CAGUUAGGAAAGUACCAUUUCAAGUUAGGGCAUCAAAUCUGCUUUUAGAUGUGACACUUUUUAUUGUCACUGAUAAACCCGUGUUGUUCUCCAUAAGCAGGCAUGGCUUGACGCUCUUCUUCCGGGUGGGAGGACUUUAAACUCCUGCGUCGUUUUCUUGUCCCAUUGACGGGAGGAGCAGUCACCUGCAGAGCGGGCCUGGCCAGCAGUCACACACACUGCGCUCCACAAAGAUCCUCGUUUCUCAGACUCGCAGCAGGAAUUCGUUGAUCAGCGGUCCGGAUCAGAACCAGAUGAACUCAGGAGCAACAUGUGGCCGUUUCUGGGACUGUUAAUGGUGUCGGUGGUCUCAGAUCUCUGACGCCGAGAGGCAGAUUAGGGACACCAUUUAACCUCACAUGUUUAUUUUUACUGUGCCAAUAAACCACAUUUCCUGCACGUAGCCUUUUUAUAAUCUUCCUUCUUGAAAUGAAGACACUGUGUUGACCAGAGUUCUGCUGAGGGUACCACAGGUGGAGGACGAGUACAACUCCUCUCAAUUUUUACAAGCAGUGCUGGCAAAAUUCAGUUUGCCAGGUUCAGCUUCCUUGAGCCUGAAGGAUUCUUCAAAUGUGGAAGUGGAUUCUGACAUAUUUGAUGAACUCUUGAAGUCAUCUGGGGUGUCUUUCAAGGCCGAAGAGUGUGAUG